GACGAACGCUGGCGGCGUGCUUAACACAUGCAAGUCGAACGGAAAGGCCCUGCUUUUGUGGGGUGCUCGAGUGGCGAACGGGUGAGUAACACGUGAGUAACCUGCCCCUGACUUUGGGAUAACUUCAGGAAACUGGGGCUAAUACCGGAUAGGAGCUCCUGCUGCAUGGUGGGGGUUGGAAAGUUUCGGCGGUUGGGGAUGGACUCGCGGCUUAUCAGCUUGUUGGUGGGGUAGUGGCUUACCAAGGCUUUGACGGGUAGCCGGCCUGAGAGGGUGACCGGCCACAUUGGGACUGAGAUACGGCCCAGACUCCUACGGGAGGCAGCAGUGGGGAAUAUUGCACAAUGGGCGGAAGCCUAAUGCAGCAACGCCGCGUGCGGGAUGACGGCCUUCGGGUUGUAAACCGCUUUCGCCUGUGACGAAGCGUGAGUGACGGUAAUGGGUAAAGAAGCACCGGCUAACUACGUG
rnacentral:rRNA from 1 species